CAGCAGACACAUUCCAGCCAAUCAGCAGCAGACCCUCCCUCCCAGACCCUCGCACCUCCUGGACAGCAUCCAUUUUACAUUCAUUGUGAAGCUGCAUUCUUAGUGAGCUGUCCAGGAGGUGGGAGGGUCUGGGAGGGAGGGUCUGCUGCUGAUUGGCUGGAAUGUGUCUGCUG
rnacentral:miRNA from 1 species